UACGGAGGGUGCAAGCGUUGCUCGGAAUUACUGGGCGUAAAGCGCGUGUAGGCGGUCUCGUGUGUCUGGCGUGAAAGCCCCGGGCUCACCCCGGGAAGUGCGUUGGAAACUGCGAGACUAGAGUUCCGGAGAGGAAGGUGGAAUUCCAGGUGUAGCGGUGAAAUGCGUAGAUAUCUGGAAGAACACCGGUGGCGAAGGCGGCCUUCUGGACGGUGACUGACGCUGAGACGCGAAAGCGUGGGGAGCAAACAGG
rnacentral:rRNA from 1 species